rnacentral:tRNA from 1 species
GGUUAGGUGGUCAAGUGGUAAGCCGCUCUCGUCGCGAACCAGAGGGGUUCUGGGUUCGAUCCCGAGCACCA